rnacentral:lncRNA from 1 species
AUCAACUCUUCUAUUUACUCACAAUACCUUCUCUCUCUCAUCUCUACGCAUGUAUAAAAUCAUUACCAUCUCUCGUUAACUCUCACAGCGGAACCAGGAAGAAGAAACCAAACAACCAACGAAUCACUGCUUCCAUAUCCGCCUCCAGAUUAUUCACUUCAAAAGGUCGGCAACGAGGUUUUGAUAGUAUCGAUUAAGGUUUGUUUAACAAUCAAACCACCUUGUUUGAUUUGUUCAUGUUUAUACUUCUUGGUUAGAUUGAGUACAUAUGAUACUUUUUUAAUCAAUGUAGCCGUUUCUCAUUGCUUAACAAUUGGUUGUUCUUUUGAUUGGUACCUCAUUAUUUCAAUUAGUAGAUUCCAAUUUUUUUGAGAAGCGGAGACAUGAGAAGGUGGGAAUUCACUGAUUUGAAACUUAAGCGAUUCAACACAUUAGAUAUGGGCUUUUUUUCGGUUAAUAGUUACUGUUGUGAUUGGUGGGAAUUUAAUGGUUUGAGUCGCCUUUCGAGAAUCCUGAAAUUGAGAGGUGCGGGUGUGUUUGACAUACAGAGAAUCCUGAAAUUGAGAGGUGCGGGUGUGUUUGAAAUACAGAGAAUCCUGAAAUUGAAAGGGGUUAUUUAAGGACUGGUUUUCAUUUUUUCAGAUUCAGCAACUGCGGGACAAGCUUGCUGUAGCUGAGAGAACUUAGAAAUCUGAAGCCCACUUAAAAGUAAAUCAGUGAAUUAAGUGUACCUACCUGAUUGGGAUUUUUAACUUAUUUCCGUUUUAUUGUAUCAAUUAAGCUUUCACGUUCUCCUCUAGGAGACGUAUCAGUUGCUAUGAAAAAUUCUUGAAGAGAUUUUGAGAUCACCGAAUACGGCUAGUCACAGCAUUCCAGAUGUAAGAAGUACUAAGGCUUAGUGAGUUAAAAAAACAACUAUGACAGAUUGGGAACUUCCUUUGGUAAUUAUGUGCUGCCAUCAGUUGCAUCAUAUAAUGCCAAGCCUCCGAAUCCGAUAAACCAUAGGGAACAACUGGAAUGUUGGAAUAAGGUUUGAGUGAAUGAAGAUGUAGUUAUUUUUUUGCUCUCUUUUCCUUGUUGCUAUCUCUCCUUUUUUCAAUUCUUUAACACCUUCCAUGAAUAGACUUCGUAUCCGUCUUUUUUAAUUGUGAUAGUUUGUGUGAACCUUGAAGAAAAUGGAAGUAUGAAAAAGAAGUUAGCAUUACUCUUGCCGGAAUCAAGAAGAAAUAUAUAUUUUGGACACGUAAAAUUGUUCUAAAGCUGUUUGAAGUUGGUGGAUGCUAGUUGGCUAUAAAUCAGUUUCGAAGACUGAAAUUUCUAUUGCUUGAAAUGACCAAACUAAGAUUGUGCUGCAUCAACUUGUAAAUUAGUACAACGAAACAAACAUAUCUUCUUUAAUUUUGUAGAGUUAAGCACAAUGAUCGUGUUCGUGUUCCAUAUUAAUAGUGGAAAAUCGGGUGAGUUUUUGAGAGAAUGAGCUUAUAUUCCAUGAUAAUUGUAACUCUACUAUCCAUAGAUUAUGUGGAAAUUGAAUUUUUUCUUUUUUUCGUCACUUAAUUUUCCCUUUCUCUGGUAUCAGUCAGACCUUGCACAGUCCACUUAUUCUUAACAAUGUUAUAAAUUCUGAUGUGAUACAAAAUUUUGAUAUAAACCUCUUCAAGAAGAAUGUUCUUCCUUGUAGAUAAAAAUUAAACAAUAAUUUUGCAUGCAGCAGUGGUCUCUACGAGCUUUUCUUCAUCUGCUGAAUAUCCUUGUUCUGUUAGCUUCCUUCCUCUUCCGGUUGCUACUUUGUCAUAUGCCCAAUGAUCUCAAAGUAGCCCUGUUCCUGCUCAUUUGCCAAUUAAAACUGAGAACUCUAAAUUGCUGAGGAAACUUCUUCCUUUUCGGAAAACUUCUAUGGAUCCAACUGCAAAUUCUCGAAUAAUAAUAAAUUUGACUGGCCUAUAAAGAUGGCAGAAAUUUCGAUCUCUAAGGAAAAAAAGCUCAACAAUAGGAAUCUUGAACACUUUAAAAAGAACCUCAAUGAAUUAUUGUAAAUUGGGCAAAUAUACUUACCUUUGUCCAUUAGAAUUAUUUUUGCUCGAAUUUAUUUAUUUAUUAUUUUUUUUUUUGGGGGAAAUUAUGUUUAUCAGAACUUUAUAAUGCAAAGAGUUUUCUUCUCCUUCUAUAUAUAUAUAUAUAUAUAUAUAUAUAUAUAUAUUUUUUUUUUUUUUUAAAUGGAGGUUCUAUGAAGAAUUUAUCCUUUCAUGCUUGAACUGAACUUCUUCACUUUUGACUAUUUUUUUUUAAAUUUUUUUUGAACAAUCAUUAUGUAAUUUAGAUGGUUCGUAGCUCAGAGUAUAAGGAAAGGAAAGAUAAUUUUUUUUAUGUUCUACAUGUUAUUGUGUAUGUGAACUUUAAUUUUCUAUAUAAUCAAAUUUCUCUGGUCGUUUUUCUUUUACCUUUUGCAUUAACUCCUUGAAACGAUUUCUGAAGUCGGUUUUAUUCAAAAGAUCUUUUCUUGAUGUUUGAUUCGUAAGUUAAACCUUCCUACAGAUUAUAAAGAUGUCGUUGACAAGGAAAACUAUCCGUCGAAGAACUCAAAAGUACACACCAUCGUGAGUUAUUUUUCUCUUCCCUUUACUGGCUCUUCCUUUUAGCCUAUUUUAUUCUGAUAUAAGUUCACUAUGCCAGACAUUUGAGAAGAAAAUUUGGGCUUCUU